rnacentral:tRNA from 1 species
GGGCCUGUAGCUCAGCGGUAGAGCACUGGACUUUUAAUCCAUUGGUCGUGGGUUCGAAUCCCACCGGGCUCACCA